CUACUCGUGCACGCAUCCAGCAAAGUUUUUUGGGAUUUCGGCCUUCAAAUCGAGGGAAAUUCAGACGGAUUUCCACCUCCAAAAGACGGAUCGGUUCCUAAACUAGUCCGUUACGCCGUCAACUACCUCAAGUACCUUGCAAGCGACAACUACAGUUCCGCCAUGGCUAAAGUUCUCCAAAUACAAAAGUCGUGGAAGGGCGGAUUCCUCUCAAAAUUGGAAGCGGAGGAGAAUUUGCUUAAAGACGCCUUCUCCAACGUAAUGGAAGCCCUACAAAGAAACGUGGAAUCCAAAAAAUCGCGCUAUAGAGACAAAAUCCUACCGCAUAUCUUCUCAAUGAACACAUACUGGUACAUCUACAUGCGGAUCCGAAACACAGAACUAGGAAGAUUGCUAGGUGAACAGUAUAUGCGAAAAAAUUACAAAGCAGUAGCAGAAGAAUCGGCUUACACUUAUCAAAUGCUAUGUUGGGAGCCUCUGCUUUCGGUAAUGGACAUGGACGACAUGCGAUUACAGAACAUGGAAACGGUGGAAGAUUUAGCGAAAACAAAAAUGGAAUCAUUCGUGAAGGCACUAAGAGAAUUCUCACAGAAACAUAGAGCGACGUACUCCAUCCCAGAUUUGGAUUUGCGGGAGCAGUUGAAAGAGGCAACUCUGAAGAUGAUACUCCCGGCUUAUACAGAGUUUUUCAAUUUGCAUUCGGCUUUGUUGCCGGGAAUUGGGAAGUAUUACGUGGGCCUAGAGACGAUCCAUGACUUUGUGGGCCGGGCCUUUGAGUUCGAAGGUGGGAGUGGGCCUGGGU
rnacentral:lncRNA from 1 species